rnacentral:rRNA from 1 species
GGGUUGUGAGGUUAAGCGACUAAGCGUACACGGUGGAUGCCCUGGCAGUCAGAGGCGAUGAAGGACGUGCUAAUCUGCGAUAAGCGUCGGUGAGGUGAUAUGAACCGUUAUAACCGGCGAUUUCCGAAUGGGGAAACCCAGUGUGUUUCGACACACUAUCAUUAACUGAAUCCAUAGGUUAAUGAGGCGAACCGGGGGAACUGAAACAUCUAAGUACCCCGAGGAAAAGAAAUCAACCGAGAUUCCCCCAGUAGCGGCGAGCGAACGGGGAGGAGCCCAGAGCCUGAA